CAGCUUUUCCGACGCGUGGCAGCUGCCUUGCCUGGAAUGGAAAGCACACAAGACAAAAGUAGAGAAGACAUGAUUGACAUCAAACUGGAAAAGCCUCAAGAGCAGCCUGUCAGUGAAGGAGGCUGUUCCUGCUAAUACCAAGGGGCUUCUCCUUUUUCUCCGGAACAUCACGGCUUUCCCUCCCCUUUUACUCUUCAUUGACUGCGGUGUGAAUAUUGGCUUGAACCUUCCCCUUUCAGUAAUAACGUAUUUGCAGUUUCAUCAUCGCUGGCUGUCUCGUGGAGAUGAUCUAUUAGCUUCACAAGCACACACACCCACCCACACAAACACAAAGAAAAUGUCAGUGUCUUCAUUAUUUAUAAAGAAAAAAAAACAAA